GGGAAACGGGAAGCUACACAUGCAAGCCGAGCGGUAGAGAUCUUUCGGGAUCUUGAGAGCGGCGUACGGGUGCGGAACACGUGUGCAACCUGCCUUUAUCUGGGGGAUAGCCUUUCGAAAGGAAGAUUAAUACCCCAUAAUAUACUGAAUGGCAUCAUUCGGUAUUGAAAACUCCGGUGGAUAGAGAUGGGCACGCGCAAGAUUAGAUAGUUGGUGAGGUAACGGCUCACCAAGUCUACGAUCUUUAGGGGGCCUGAGAGGGUGAUCCCCCACACUGGUACUGAGACACGGACCAGACUCCUACGGGAGGCAGCAGUGAGGAAUAUUGGACAAUGGGUGAGAGCCUGAUCCAGCCAUCCCGCGUGAAGGACGACGGCCCUAUGGGUUGUAAACUUCUUUUGUAUAGGGAUAAACCUACCCUCGUGAGGGUAGCUGAAGGUACUAUACGAAUAAGCACCGGCUAACUCCGUGCCAGCAGCCGCGGUAAUACGGAGGGUGCAAGCGUUAUCCGGAUUUAUUGGGUUUAAAGGGUCCGUAGGCGGAUCUGUAAGUCAGUGGUGAAAUCUCACAGCUUAACUGUGAAACUGCCAUUGAUACUGCAGGUCUUGAGUGUUGUUGAAGUAGCUGGAAUAAGUAGUGUAGCGGUGAAAUGCAUAGAUAUUACUUAGAACACCAAUUGCGAAGGCAGGUUACUAAGCAACAACUGACGCUGAUGGACGAAAGCGUGGGGAGCGAACAGGAUUAGAUACCCUGGUAGUCCACGCCGUAAACGAUGCUAACUCGUUUUUGGAGCGUAAGCUUCAGAGACUAAGCGAAAGUGAUAAGUUAGCCACCUGGGGAGUACGAACGCAAGUUUGAAACUCAAAGGAAUUGACGGGGGCCCGCACAAGCGGUGGAUUAUGUGGGUUUAAUUCGAUGAUACGCGAGGAACCUUACCCAAGGCUUAAUGGAAAAUGACAGGUUAGAAAAUAGACUUUUCUCGGACAUUUUUCAGGGUGCUGCAUGGCUGUCGGUCAGCUCGUGCCGUGAGGAUGAUAGGUUAGGUCUGCAACGAAGCGCAUCCUGUCACUAGCUUGCCAUCAUUAAGUUGGGGAACCUCUAGCUGAAGAACUGGCU
rnacentral:rRNA from 1 species